UCGUAAUUUUUCUUUGCCGGAAAUCGAGUAAUAUUUUCUAUCCGGUAUCAACGGUGUCUCUACUUUGUCUUGUUUCAUUUCAAGGAAAGCAAUGCAUACCAUAUCAAGUUCCUUGCGGAGAGCGAGGACGGCCUUCUCCCUGUCGGUGACCAAUUCCUCCAGGUACUGGUACCUGAGCUUCUUUCUGGCGCGACAUUCGCGCGCACUUUGUCGGCUGCGUUCUGCAACACGCAACGUUGCGUUCGUAUUAAAAUCGGGGGCUGCGAUGGCGACCCUUUUGCAGUAGCCUCGAGAACCUGGCUUGGCCUUCAUAUCCGCCUUGUCGGCCGCCUUUCUGCCGGGCUUGCGUCCCCGCUUUCCGCCCUCUUUUCGAUCGCUACGGGAUCCGUCCUGCAACAAAGCAAAUAAUGGUCAGGGGUUACAUUCGUUACGAACGACGAUUACCUGCACAGCUGGAUUAUUU
rnacentral:misc_RNA from 1 species